GCAAUCUGUCAAAAUGUUUGUAAACGUUUAGAGCCGUCGUCUCCGUCGUGUUUUCGUUUGCCGAGUUUGGGUUUCGCAAAUUGCAAGGAAUUUUCAGAUUUUUUAUCGUUCCGGAACCAUCUUCCGGCAAUGGGUUCCUCCAAGAAGCACAAGAAGGAAUCGAAGAAGCACAAGCGUCGCUCGCGGAGCCGUUCGCCGCACGAGAAACGCCGCAGCCGUUCGUACGCCGAGGAGCACGAAUUUGUGGUGGAGGAUGGGGAGGAGGAGGAGCAGCAGCAGGUCGUGGAAGAUAAUGGCCACCGGAGGGAGAAGGACCGGUACGAGGGGGAGGAAAAGGUGAGCCGCCACAAGAAGCACAAGAAGGACCGCGACCGGCAUCACCACAGUAAGAAGCGGAGGGUGAGGGAGGAGGAUGGGGAGGGGUUGGAGGUUGAAGUUGGUGGGAGUAGCAGCCGGAAGAAGCGACAUCGGACCAAGGAGUAUGUAGAGGUUGCGGAUGAUAGCAGCGAUAGUUCGGAUUGCGUGGAAGUUCCGGUUGAUGAGGAUAUUCCGGUUCCACCGCCGCCAAUUAUGCGUCGCUAUCCGACGCCGGAACCGGCGCCAGCGUUCGCUGGCCGACGGUCGUCUCCGUCGCCACCACCGAGGGUGGCCGCUCCAAGCCAUCGAAGGCGGUCACCUUCUCCGCCGAGGGUUGCUGCUCCGUCGAGCAGGAAACGAUCUCCGUCGCCACCGAGGGUGGCUCCGCCAAGUCGUAGAAGGUCGCCGUCGCCACCAAGGGUGGCCCCUCCCAGUCGUCGGAGGUCACCUUCGCCGCAGCGCAAUACCCGCCGCAGGUCACCGCCACCACAGCCGGAGCAGCGAAAACGGACUCCGUCGCCGAUUCCGGAGAAUGGCGCCGGUGAUUGCCUGUCGGUUGAGGAAACCAACAAGCUGCGUGCCAAGCUGGGCUUGAAACCGCUGGAGGUCGGUCCGUCGGAUGCGGCCAAGGAGAGUAGCAGCAGCAGCCGGAAGCCGGACGAAGACGCCCCGAGGAAUGAGCGAACCGGAGCCAGUUACGAAAAGAUCAAGGACGAUUGGGGCGAAUUCUACCACAAACCCGCGACUAACCUGAAGGAAAAGACCAAGGAGGAGAAAAUUCGGGAAAAGCUAAAGGAGAGGAAGGAGAAGCGGGCUGUUGAAGAAAAGCUGAAACGUCUGCAAACGCUCGGCGAGGACGAAGACAUGGACGACGUCAAGAAUUGGGUCAGCCGGAGCAGGGACAAGGAUCGGCUUAAGAAGGAAGCCGACGAGCGCGCCAAACUGCUGGACCAAAUGGACGAAGAGUUUGGCGUGGGCGACCUCGUUGACCAGGAAGUGCGUCAAACGCGGAAGAAUGCCUACAAGGAUCGCGAUCUGCGGGGACUGCGCGUUGAGCACGACGUGGAAGAGUUUAAGGAAGGUCGGCAGGUGAUUCUGACGCUGAAGGAUGCGGACGUGUUGGACGAAGAGGCGGGCGACACGCUGGUCAACGUGAACAUGAUGGACGACGAGCGGUACAAGAAGAACGUUGAAAACAGGAAGCAAAACCCGAACCAUUACGGCUACAACGUGUACGACGAGGAGGUGGACGAGUUCGGGAUGGUUAAGGAGAGGGAUAUUCUUGGCAAAUACAACGACGAGCUGGGCGAGCGCAAAAAGUCCAGCUUCACGAUCGGCUCGAACGCGGAGCACGAAGCGGCCGAGAAGCGCCGCCAGCUGGAGAUUCGCGCCAAACUGCAGAACAAAAAGCUCGACUCGCUCAACACCGUGCCGCUGGCGCUUGCUUCCGAAUACUUUAACGAAACCGAAAUUGCCUCGUUUAAAAAGCCAAAGAAGAAGGUGCGCAAAAUCCGCCAAAAGCUGCGCGCCGACGAUCUGCUGGCCUCGGUUCCGGAGGCAGCUUCCAGUGCGGAUCUGGGCUCGCGAGCGAAUCGACGCGGUGGAGAGCCCCCUCCGACGAAGAGUGAGAUCCGGAACGUAAAGCGACGGGACAUUCUGAUUACGGACGACACUCCGACGUUUGACGACGAUUUGAGCGGGGUGCGCGUUGACGAGGACGAUGAAGACUUGCAGGCGGUUCUGUCGAAGGCUCGCAGGUUGAAGCAGAAGGAGGCAAUCAUUUCCAAGGCACUGCCGUUCGAUCCGGACCAGAUCAAGCACGAGAUCAAGCCGGAAGCGGACUCCGAGGACGAGAGCGGAACGUUCGACACGCGAACUCGCGACGGAGCGAUGCUGCUGAACGCGACGGCCGAAUUCUGCAGGACGCUGGGCGAUAUCCCGACGUACGGAUUGGCCGGCAAUCGCGACGAAGACGUCAACGAGAUGAUGGACUUUGAGCAGGAGCACGAGGAGCGCGAACCAGACUACCAGGAACCGGGCGGAAGCUCGUGGAACUACGUCAACACCGAGCGUGAGCAGGAAGAGCAAGCCCGGUCCGGCCAGGUCCCCGUUGAGGACGUUGCCAUCCUGGACGAAGAACCGGACGUGGCCUCGAGCGUCGCCGGCGCCCUCAAACUCGCCAACUCCAAGGGCUACCUCGAGAAGGAAGAGUCCAACCGGCCGAGCAACGCGCGCUUCGCCCACCUCCAGGCCCAGAACUACUCGAUCGAGGACAAGAACUACGGCGACGAGGACAAGUACUCGCGGCGUGACCGCUUCUCCGGGCCGAUCAGCGACUUCCGCGAAAAGGAAACGUUCAAGCCGAACGUCAAGCUCGAGUACAUCGACGACAGUGGCCACCUGCUGACGCCGAAGGAGGCGUUCCGCUACCUGUCACACAAGUUCCACGGCAAGGGCCCCGGCAAGAACAAGGUCGAGAAGCGGCUCAAGAAGAGCGAGCAGGAGGGGCUGAUGAAGAAGAUGAGCUCGACGGACACGCCGCUCGGCACGCUCAACAUGCUGCAGGCCAAGCAGAAGGAAACGCAGUCGCCCUUUAUCGUGCUGUCCGGCAAGCAGAACACGAGCAUCGUCAAGCAUAAGCGCUGAGAAGGGGGUCGAGAAAGUCAUAGUGUGUGUGUGUGAAAAAGUAAUCAAUUGAACCUAAACUAUUUAGUGCUAGCUGAUAAGUGGGCGCGCAGCCGACUGCUUGUAGCUCUUUUGCGCGGAAUAAAGAUUUAUUUGCAGGCAGGUGGAUGGUUACGUUCCCCUUUGGUUGCCGAUGACAAGGGUCUCCGAAAGUGGUAAGUGUUGUAUGAAUAUAAUUUAA